GACAGAGGGUGCAAACGUUGUUCGGAAUUACUGGGCGUAAAGCGUGCGUAGGCGGUUUGGUAAGUCGGAUGUGAAAGCCCCGGGCUCAACCCGGGAAGUGCACUCGAUACUGCCAAGCUAGAGUAUCGGAGAGGUUGGUGGAAUUCCCGGUGUAGAGGUGAAAUUCGUAGAUAUCGAGAGGAACACCGGUGGCGAAGGCGGCCAACUGGACGAAUACUGACGCUGAGGCUCGAAAGCGUGGGGAGCAAACAGG
rnacentral:rRNA from 1 species